AUAAUAUUAUUAUAUUCGAAAGUAUAUUUGCUUUCCAAGCAUAAGGAGUUUUAAUAACAUGUUAUA
rnacentral:tRNA from 1 species